AUCAGAAUGCCACGGUGAAUACGUUCCCGGGCCUUGUACACACCGCCCGUCACACCAUGGGAGUGGGUUGCAAAAGAAGUAGGUAGCUUAACCUUCGGGAGGGCGCUUACCACUUUGUGAUUCAUGACUGGGGUGAAGUCGUAACAAGGUAACCGUAGGGGAACCUGCGGUUGGAUUACCUCCUUACCUUAAAGAAGC
rnacentral:rRNA from 1 species